rnacentral:tRNA from 1 species
ACCUAUCUGGCUCAGUCAGAAGAGCAUGGGAUUCUUAAUCUCAGGUUUGUUAGUUCCAGCCCCAUGAUGGGUA